UACGAAGGGGGCUAGCGUUGUUCGGAAUCACUGGGCGUAAAGGGCGCGUAGGCGGCCGCUCAAGUCGGGGGUGAAAGCCUGUGGCUUAACCACAGAAUUGCCUUCGAUACUGUUUGGCUUGAGACCGGAAGAGGUGAGUGGAACUGCGAGUGUAGAGGUGAAAUUCGUAGAUAUUCGGAAGAACACCAGUGGCGAAGGCGACACACUGGCCCGUUACUGACGCUGAGGCGCGAAAGCGUGGGGAGCAAACAGG
rnacentral:rRNA from 1 species